ensembl:piRNA 21ur-13986 ncRNA
UUUCUUGAGUGUUAAUAUCAU